CCCCCAUUAGCUCAGAUGGUAAAGAAUCUGCCUGCAAUGCAGGAGACCCGGGUUCAACCCCUGGAUUCGGAA
rnacentral:tRNA from 1 species